AUAAGCUGGAGGUCUUGCCCUUUACCACCAUCUGAUGGUAUAUUUCCUGUUUUCAAAUUAUAGAAUCUGAGGCAGGAGGCAUUGGCAGAGUGGUUGUUUCCCUCUGCUGAAGGUGAUGGAUUUCAAACCCUCAGAGAGGGAGCUUCACCUUUCCUCCCAUCGUGGAAUUCUGUAUCAAACCCUUAAUGGUGAUAUUUGCAGCAAUUAUUAUUAUGCCAACAUCAUAAUCACCUGAACAAAGAGACUGACUCAUGAGGUUUUAAGAGUGGGUCCGAACUUGGAGGACACCAAUUCCCUUAGCUAUCUACUAGAGCUGUCCAUCUCCCAGAACUGUUCGGAUGGAUCUCUCUCUUAUCCGCUCAACCUGUGCAGAUAGAGCUGUCUGUGUCUUCACCCUGUGCCCAAGGAACUCUCUCUCUGGAAUUCUGUUUCCCCCCACUGUGUCAUGCCACACCCAUAAUUUAUUCAAAAUGGUUUCGACAGCUUCAUUGAUGAAGUACAAGUUCAAGUUCAGCUCCUCCCUUAAUCCUCACAGAUCAUCUGGCCUCUCAUACCUAGCAUCUCAUUCAUCCAAGGCCAUGUAUCCUUUCCCCAUCUUCACUGUGUCUGGAAGUGAGUGGGUACACUGCUUGCAGCAUUGUGGUAUGUUAACUCUGAAGCAUAUCAACAUUCAUUCAUUAUCUUUUUGGGUAGAGUUCCAAACUGAGGUUGCCAAAGGGGUGCCCCAGUCAUCAGAUCCAAGAACGCAUGGUUUUAGUUGGAUUUUAGCUAAUUAAAAGCUAUUAGUUCAGAUUAUGUCCCUUAGUGAAAGUCAUUCCCACAGACAUUCUAUCUCAUAACCUCUGCAGGCCUUCAUAGUCAACCUCAUACAUGAGUCCUAAAUAACCUUGUAGGUUCUGAUUAUGAGGCAUGAUGAGAACCUUUUGAUGCAAGGAAAGCUGAUUGUAUAUGCCACCCUGAGAAUGUUUGUCUUUUAUAAUGGGAAGAACUCAGUGCCCAGCAUAUUUCUCUAGACCUCAGUUCUAGGUAGUCUCUACUCCUGACCUCUCCCAGAUUUUCUUUACCCCUGGUAUUCCCUUAUCUUUGCACACUGAGUCUAUAUGAGCAGAUAUCUGUCCAUUGAUUCUCUUCAGCUCAGAUCUCACUCCUACUGUGAGACACCAUAAUGUUCUCUCACAUACACAUCAUCAACCCCCUAUAACCGUCAACCUUAUUUUUCAAUGUGUAAAUUGACUGAGGUCUGCUCCAGGGCAUCUUCAUUGCUAAUCAAUAUUUCAUGCCUUUAUUUCACCUCAUUGGUGCAUUCUCUAUGGUGGCUUAUGACGGACACCUUGUUCUGCCUUGCACUGCACAAGAGCCAUGAGUCUGCAGAUUUAAUUAUAAGGCAGAAGAUAAGGACGGCUGGACAUUAUAAAACAAAAUCUUACAGAUAUCUUUGUGCAGAUUUCUAGUGAGCCAUGUUCUCUACCUCUUCUCAUCACUGGGUGUCUGUUCCCAGCUGUCAUCCUGGGGUUGAUGGAGCAACUCAGCCUUUGUCUAGGAGGAGUUCAAAGUUCCCAAAUUGUGGUCAUAGCUAGAUUCCUCUUUGUCUGCACUUUGAGACUAAUUUUUGCAUGGCUGACCUUAAGAACCAGAAUUAGUAACCUGCCCACAGUGAAGAAGUUUUUGAUGCCUGGCAGCCAGAGGGGGUCUCCUCUGAGUAUGAGAAAAUGCUGAGCAGUAGAGGAUAUCUUCACUGAAAUAAGACAAGCAUGGGCAGCAAGCCCAUGAAAGACAAUAUUCUGAAUUUUGCAACAAUUCAGAGAUGUAUCCACCUGUUGAUCCUGGCUUUUGUGAAGCUGACUUGGAAUCCACAGUGAAGGUGACACAUAUCUAUCUGCAUAUACAGUGCUGCAUAUACGGGUGCUUCUACAACUUCCACUUCCUGUUGAAAAAGGAGCGACUCAACCCACUAAAGGCAAUCUGAAAGUUGAUGGGCCAUACACAGCCCUGAGCGCUGCCCUUCAUAAGAGAUGCCUGUGGUUUAUCACCAAGGAGUGAUGUCAUUGGUUUCCCAGUCUUUCUCUAAAGCUAGUGUGCUCCAAAAGGCAGCAGAAGCUUCUGUGAACAACCAUCUGGAAUGUGCAAGCGAGUCUAUGUCUGCAGAACUUUUGGACUGAUGACAAAAAUGGCCUAGAUUUGCAACUUAAACCAAAUGAAGAGCAGUACUUCUCGUGAAUUUCUAUGUUGUCGAUUCCAUGGAUAUUGAUUAAUCCCCACCCUUUGCCAAGUUUAAUAUCUGCCUGAAUACUCUGCUUUUCCAAUUUUUAAUCUAGGUAUCUGCUUGAUUGGACAGGCCGAUUUCUUUAGUACUUCUCUUUAAACUGCCCAAAAUAGCGUCUGAUAAUUAAGAUUUGCCACAUUUCUCUUAUUUAAAUUUCCUUUCUUUCUUUCCUUCCUUUCUUUUUUCUUUUUUGUUUUUUGGGGCUUUUUUGUUUUGUUUUUGUUUGUUUGUUUUGUUUUGAGACAGUCUCAAACAUAGCCCUUACUACAGAGUCUCUAUGCAGCCCUAGCUGGCCUGGAACUCAUUACAUAGACCAGGCUGGCCUUAAAUUAAUAGAGAGCUGCACUUGGGACCUGAAUGACCUGUAUAGUCACAGGCCCAGCUAAUAAAGACUUUCCUUUUUGGCGA